ACGCUGGCGGCGUGCCUAAUACAUGCAAGUUGAGCGAUGAAGGUUGGUACUUGUACCAACUGGAUGAGCAGCGAACGGGUGAGUAACGCGUGGGGAAUCUGCCUUUGAGCGGGGGACAACAUUUGGAAACGAAUGCUAAUACCGCAUAACAACUUUAAACAUAAGUUUUAAGUUUGAAAGAUGCAAUUGCAUCACUCAAAGAUGAUCCCGCGUUGUAUUAGCUAGUUGGUGAGGUAAAGGCUCACCAAGGCGAUGAUACAUAGCCGACCUGAGAGGGUGAUCGGCCACAUUGGGACUGAGACACGGCCCAAACUCCUACGGGAGGCAGCAGUAGGGAAUCUUCGGCAAUGGACGAAAGUCUGACCGAGCAACGCCGCGUGAGUGAAGAAGGUUUUCGGAUCGUAAAACUCUGUUGGUAGAGAAGAACGUUGGUGAGAGUGGAAAGCUCAUCAAGUGACGGUAACUACCCAGAAAGGGACGGCUAACUACGUGCCAGCAGCCGCGGUAAUACGUAGGUCCCGAGCGUUGUCCGGAUUUAUUGGGCGUAAAGCGAGCGCAGGUGGUUUAUUAAGUCUGGUGUAAAAGGCAGUGGCUCAACCAUUGUAUGCAUUGGAAACUGGUAGACUUGAGUGCAGGAGAGGAGAGUGGAAUUCCAUGUGUAGCGGUGAAAUGCGUAGAUAUAUGGAGGAACACCGGUGGCGAAAGCGGCUCUCUGGCCUGUAACUGACACUGAGGCUCGAAAGCGUGGGGAUCAAGCAGGAUUAGAUACCCUGGUAGUCC
rnacentral:rRNA from 1 species